rnacentral:rRNA from 1 species
GCCUUCGGGCCUAUGUCUUAUCAUAUAAUCUGAAUGUCUAAUAGAAUGUAAACCCAUUUCGUUGCCUUGAAAACGUAACGAAAGAAAACUAUACAACUUUCAACAACGGAUCUCUUGGCUCUCGCAUCGAUGAAGAACGCAGCGAAAUGCGAUAAGUAAUGUGAAUUGCAGAUUUUCAGUGAAUCAUCGAAUCUUUGAACGCACCUUGCGCCCCUUGGUAUUCCGAGGGGCAUGCCUGUUUGAGUGUCAUUAAAUCCUCAACCCCUCCGAUUCGUUUCGGUGGGGAUUGGACUUGGAGCGUGCUGGCGAAGGUCGGCUCCUCUUUAAAUGCAUCAGCGGAGAAAAUGCCUUUUGCGCCUCUGGCCGUUCAGCGUGAUAAUGAUGUUGCGCUGCGGUCGAGCUUAAGGUCCGCUUCCAAAGGUCCUCUCGGACGAUAUAUACAUAUGACUUUUGACCUCAAAUCAGGUAGGACUACCCGCUGAACUUAAGCAUAUCAAUAAGCGGAGGAA